rnacentral:rRNA from 1 species
AUGCACGCUGGCGGCGUGCCUAAUACAUGCAAGUCGAGCGAACGGACGAGAAGCUUGCUUCUCUGAUGUUAGCGGCGGACGGGUGAGUAACACGUGGAUAACCUACCUAUAAGACUGGGAUAACUUCGGGAAACCGGAGCUAAUACCGGAUAAUAUUUUGAACCGCAUGGUUCAAAAGUGAAAGACGGUCUUGCUGUCACUUAUAGAUGGAUCCGCGCUGCAUUAGCUAGUUGGUAAGGUAACGGCUUACCAAGGCAACGAUGCAUAGCCGACCUGAGAGGGUGAUCGGCCACACUGGAACUGAGACACGGUCCAGACUCCUACGGGAGGCAGCAGUAGGGAAUCUUCCGCAAUGGGCGAAAGCCUGACGGAGCAACGCCGCGUGAGUGAUGAAGGUCUUCGGAUUGUAAAACUCUGUUAUUAGGGAAGAACAUAUGUGUAAGUAACUGUGCACAUCUUGACGGUACCUAAUCAGAAAGCCACGGCUAACUACGU